AUUGAACGCUGGCGGCAGGCCUAACACAUGAAAGUCGAACGAGUGGCGGACGGGUGAGUAAUGUCUGGGAAACUGCCUGAUGGAGGGGGAUAACUACUGGAAACGGUAGCUAAUACCGCAUACCAUCGGAUGUGCCCAGAUGGGAUUAGCUAGUAGGUGGGGUAACGGCUCACCUAGGCGACGAUCCCUAGCUGGUCUGAGAGGAUGACGAGCCACACUGGAACUGAGACAAGGGCCAGACGACGACGGGAGGAAGCAGUGGGGAAUAUUGCACAAUGGGCGGAAGCCUGAUGCAGCCAUGCCGCGUGUAUGAAGAAGGCCUUCUGGUUGUAAAGUACUUUCAGCGGGGAGGCGUUACCCGCAGAAGAAGCACCGGCUAACUCCUGGCCAGCCGCCGCGGUAAUUC
rnacentral:rRNA from 1 species